ACGGGGCGCAGCAGGCGCGAAAACUUUACAAUGCGGGAAACCGUGAUAAGGGAACUCCGAGUGCCCGUAAAAUCGGGCUGUCCACCAGUUUAAAUAACUGGUGAAGAAAGGGCCGGGCAAGACCGGUGCCAGCCGCCGCGGUAAUACCGGCGGCUCGAGUGGUGGCCACUAUUACUGGGCUUAAAGCGUUCGUAGCUGGUCUGUUAAGUCUCUGGGGAAAUCUACUGGCUUAACCAAUAGGCGUCUCAGGGAUACUGGCAGACUAGGGACCGGGAGAGGUGAGAGGUACUCCAGGGGUAGGAGUGAAAUCCUGUAAUCCUUGGGGGACCACCUGUGGCGAAGGCGUCUCACCAGAACGGCUCCGACAGUGAGGGACGAAAGCUGGGGGAGCAAACCGGAUUAGAUACCCGGGUAGUCCCAGCSGUAAACGAUGCGCGUUAGGUGUAUCGGUGACCACGAGUCACCGAGGUGCCGAAGAGAAAUCGUGAAACGUGCCGCCUGGGAAGUACGGUCGCAAGGCUGAAACUUAAAGGAAUUGGCGGGGGAGCAC
rnacentral:rRNA from 1 species